UACGUAGGGGGCUAGCGUUGUUCGGAAUUACUGGGCGUAAAGGGCGCGUAGGCGGCCUGUUAAGUCGGACGUGAAAUCCCCGGGCUCAACCCGGGAACUGCGUCCGAUACUGGCAGGCUUGAAUCCGGGAGAGGGAAGCGGAAUUCCAGGUGUAGCGGUGAAAUGCGUAGAUAUCUGGAGGAACACCGGUGGCGAAGGCGGCAUCCUGGACCGGCACUGACGCUGAGGCGCGAAAGCCAGGGGAGCAAACGGG
rnacentral:rRNA from 1 species